rnacentral:rRNA from 1 species
UACGUAGGGUGCAAGCGUUAAUCGGAAUUACUGGGCGUAAAGCGUGCGCAGGCGGUUAUGCAAGACAGAUGUGAAAUCCCCGGGCUCAACCUGGGGAACUGCAUUUGUGACUGCAUGGCUGGAGUGCGGCAGAGGGGGAUGGAAUUCCGCGUGUAGCAGUGAAAUGCGUAGAUAUGCGGAGGAACACCGAUGGCGAAGGCAAUCCCCUGGGCCUGCACUGACGCUCAUGCACGAAAGCGUGGGGAGCAAACAGG